GGCCUCCCAAUGCUUACCACAGGCUGUGUUCUUUACACUGACUGUAUAGAAAGAGGAGGUACAGUAAAUGCAAUAAUAAUAAUAAUAAUAAUUUUUAUUGUGAUUAAAGUGAAUUACAAGUCUUUU